rnacentral:misc_RNA from 1 species
CCGAGUUUACAACUCCCAAACCCCUGUGAACAUACCACUUGUUGCCUCGGCGGAUCAGCCCGCUCCCGGUAAAACGGGACGGCCCGCCCGAGGACCCCUAAACUCUGUUUCUAUAUGUAACUUCUGAGUAAAACAACAAAUAAAUCA